GCAUUGAUAGUGUAGGGGUAUCAUGAGUCGUUGCCACUCAUCGCUUGUCCAAAGCGUGACUAGCGAUUCGACUCGACCGGGGUUCGAGUCCCUGUCAAUGCA
rnacentral:tRNA from 1 species